rnacentral:rRNA from 1 species
UACGUAGGGUGCAAGCGUUAAUCGGAAUUACUGGGCGUAAAGCGUGCGCAGGCGGCUAUGCAAGACAGAUGUGAAAUCCCCGGGCUCAACCUGGGAACUGCAUUUGUGACUGCAUGGCUAGAGUACGGUAGAGGGGGAUGGAAUUCCGCGUGUAGCAGUGAAAUGCGUAGAUAUGCGGAGGAACACCGAUGGCGAAGGCAAUCCCCUGGGCCUGCACUGACGCUCAUGCACGAAAGCGUGGGAGC